UACAGAGGGUGCAAGCGUUGUUCGGAAUUAUUGGGCGUAAAGGGAGUGUAGGCGAUUUGGUAAGUCUUCUGUGAAAUCUACGGGCUUAGCCUGUAACGUGCAGAGGAAACUACCGAGCUUGAGUGUCGGAGAGGAUAGGGGAAUACCCAGUGUAGAGGUGAAAUUCGUAGAGAUUGGGUGGAACACCAGUGGCGAAGGCGGCAUCCUGGACCGAGAUUGACGCUGAGGCGCGAAAGCCAGGGGAGCAAA
rnacentral:rRNA from 1 species